GCAGAGCGGAAGGAAAGGAGGAGGAGGGAAAUCGGGGACGUCGGUCAUCUCCAGGCGCUGGUGUUCUGGAGGAGGCAGAGCGGAAGGAAAGGAGGAGGAGGGAAAUCGGGGACGUCGGUCAUCUCCAGGCGCUGGUGUUCUGGAGGAGGCAGAGCGGAAGGAAAGGAGGAGGAGGGAAAUCGGGGACGUCGGUCAUCUCCAGGCGCUGGUGUUCUGGGUCACAGUUUGGUAAGAAGAUCAAAGGGCACGAUCAACAGCUCGUGCACUGCCUUGGUGUGGACCCAGAGUUCAAGCACAGACGAAGAUCAGACACUGACUUCACACUUCUGAUAGUGUCUGGCUAGCACCACGUCCAGGUAUACUCAGUCCCUGUAAUUGUUCAUCGGGACGAUCAGGAGAGUUCUGCCUGUGCGAUUCAAAUAUCAACCUAUCUGGAGGAAAACUAGAGCUGUCAAAUGCCAAUUCUAUAGUAUUCUUCUGGUCUACAGCACAGGGCAGGCUCAGUAAUAAUGAAAGAGG